CAACCUGGUUUCUCAUUUUCUUCUUCCGCCGGUGGGGUGAGCUCCAAAUCUCUGAAGGAUUUCAGGCAUCUCUCCUGCCGUGGGAUGCAAGCUCUGGUUGAGGACUACAUUUUCACCUAGUGUAAUUGAUUUUGUUUCUGCCCAGUGGAUGGGCCAUAUGCCAGAAGGCAGGCAGAUUGGACCACCGAUCAUCAGACAUUUGGCAAGUGCUGGAUGGUUAAGGUUUCUUUUUUUUUUUUUUUUUUUUUUAAUUUUUAUUUUUUAUUUGUUCAAUUACUAGGAUAUUUGGCUUACAACCCAUUUAAGAUGUACUGGUAUCAGUGAGCAUCAAGCUUACAUCCUAUACAUUCCCUUGUUGGGCCCACUUAAAAUUUGGAAUAUUUUCAGUUUUUAUGUGCCUACUAAUUCUGCUCAGUUUCACCUUCUAACAGGGGUUAGAUGACAAAUAAAAAACAAGGUGGGCUUCAUAGUCCAUUUGAAAGUUGGUGUGUAGUGUUAUACGAUGUUAUCCUUUUUUACUCAAAUUUUAUUCCUGGUAAGUCAUGUUAGAAUUUAAAUUGCUUUACGCUCCCGUAAUAGGCACAAUUCAUAGUAAAGCGACUACUUGUUUCUAUCUGUUCUUGUUAUUAAAGUGACUGCUUAAUCCAUGGUAAAUCCGUAUUCACUGUACUUUGGUAUAUAAUUGUCCCUAGCACCUUGCAUCAUUUUCAAAGUUCCUCAUUUAUUUCAAAUUUUAUUUCAGUCUAUUCUAAAUCCUGUUUCAAUCACAGUUUUUUUAUUUUUUAUUUUUAUAAAUUAUAAAUGUUUCUUCUAAAUGUUGUUUCUGCUAUGUUGUAAUUCGAAAUUGACUUAACAGGAUUUGUUAAAAUGGCAGGAGAAUCAGUUUGGUAUAGUAGAUGCUUGCUACCCUCAGUCAGAAUGUUACCAUUGCACUCACUUCGAAUGUUUCAAACAGGCCAAUCCAUGACUUAUGUGGGCCACACCACAAGCAACAGAUAAGAGUGGAUGCCUGCCCAGUGAAACCUUCUUGAUUUAGGUGGUAAAUAAAUGUAUAAAGACAGUAGGAAUUGGUUUUAUGAUGUCUCCCAAAUACACCACCCAUCAAUGAAAAUUGUUGGUCUUGUGAGGAAACUGCUCAAAGUGAAGACAGUCUUCAAUAUCUUGGGACCUAUGUUGAAUCCAGCGCAGGUACCUUUCGCAGUUGUUGGUGUCUAUGAUGAGGAUUUGGUAAGUCUGAUAUAUUGGAUGUCUUGACAACAUGACUCAGCUAUUAUUGUUGAAUUUAGCAAAUGAUCGUUUUGCUGGAUAAGCAAAGACUAAUAUUAAGCUUUGCCAUGUCUCAGGAGACAAAAAUUAGUUGAAUAGAAGAGAAACAGGUACCAUUUUUGUGAGAAUAUAUAGAAUCUCUGACUAGUUGGAUGGUGUUUGGAAAAAUGUAUAUUGUAUUAUUGUAGUUGUUGUUUGCAUGAAAAAUACGAUACAUAUUGUUGUUAUGCAGCUUAUGCUUUGUGAGAACCCCUAAAUUUCUUUAUCUAUGACAGCCCUCUAAUUGAAUGGUGAAGAUUGUUUAAUAGAUGUGAUUGUGGUGUGUUGCCCUUGCCCAUCUUCAUACCCAUCAGGUGAGCUUUCAUCAGGACUACUUGGCAGUAAGAGUGAGGUGGAUGUAAGUUCUCGGAACCUUAAAUUAAUCUUGAAU